UACAGAGGUCUCAAGCGUUGUUCGGAUUCAUUGGGCGUAAAGGGUGUGUAGGUGGCGCGCUAAGUCGGGUGUGAAAUUUCGGAGCUUAACUCCGAAACUGCAUUCGAUACUGGCGUGCUUGAGGACUGGAGAGGAGACUGGAAUUCAUGGUGUAGCAGUGAAAUGCGUAGAGAUCAUGAGGAAGACCAGUGGCGAAGGCGGGUCUCUGGACCAUAACUGACGCUGAGGCUCGAAAGCUAGGGGAGCAAACAGG
rnacentral:rRNA from 1 species